CUGCCAACAGCAACCAGAUCAUGUGACAUCUGUCUGUCUGUAGUAUGACUAGAAGCAGCCCUGUUCACCGUUUUCUUCAUAUCCACUUUGAUUGUGAGAUGUUCCCUCCUACAGUUGACAUCUGACAUUUUCACAUCUGAAACAGUAUGACUUGAAUCAUGCUGGCUACUGGAAGAAUCUCCUUUUCUCCUGAGUUCCCCUUCUUUCCUUACUCUUUCCUUCUGCUUGUUUUUAAAGGGUCUCAGAUCAACAUCCAUUUUAGAAGAGUUAACACAAGCAUUGCAGCCCUUCUUUGAACUAUAUUUAGCAGGGACUUCAACAUGCCCUUCUUCAGUCUGUCUCGCUCUUCCACCACUAAAGUAAUCUAACUUUUUGUUAUUCCAGGCACCCUUAGAAGAUCCAUAUUUCUGAUCUUCCUGCUUCACAUACUUCUGAGCUCUAUCAUCUGUAAAAGACUUUUCCCCAUCCAGGUGCCUGCGCCGUUUGUGACUGUAUUCAUAGGCUAUCUUUGUGAC
rnacentral:lncRNA from 1 species